rnacentral:rRNA from 1 species
GACGAACGCUGGCGGCGUGCUUAACACAUGCAAGUCGAACGGAAAGGCCCUGCUUUUGUGGGGUGCUCGAGUGGCGAACGGGUGAGUAACACGUGAGUAACCUGCCCUUGACUUUGGGAUAACUUCAGGAAACUGGGGCUAAUACCGGAUAGGAGCUCCUGCUGCAUGGUGGGGGUUGGAAAGUUUCGGCGGUUGGGGAUGGACUCGCGGCUUAUCAGCUUGUUGGUGGGGUAGUGGCUUACCAAGGCUUUGACGGGUAGCCGGCCUGAGAGGGUGACCGGCCACAUUGGAACUGGGAUACGGCCCAGACUCCUACGGGAGGCAGCAGGGGGGAAUAUUGCAAAAGGGGCGGAGGCCUGAUGCAGAAACGCGGCGUGCGGGAUGACGGCCUUCGGGUGGUAAACCGCUUUCGCCUGUGACGAGGCGUGGGUGACGGUAAUGGGUAAGGAAGCACCGGCUAACUACGU